rnacentral:rRNA from 1 species
CCCUUAGACGUUCUGGGCCGCACGCGCACUACACUGACGAAGGCAACGAGCUACUCUUCACCGAAAGGUGUGGGUAAUCUUUUGAAACUUCGUCGUGCUGGGGAUAGAUCCUUGCAAUUUUUGAUCUUAAACGAGGAAUUCCUAGUAAGCGCAAGUCAUCAACUUGCGUUGAUUACGUCCCUGCCCUUUGUACACACCGCCCGUCGCUACUACCGAUUGAAUGGUUUAGUGAGGCCUUCGGAUCCGCGAUUUUAUUGUGGAGAAGUUGGACAAACUCAGUCAUUUAGAGGAAGUAAAAGUCGUAACA